UGCAUUCCGGAAAUGAAGGGGGCGCUAUUUUCAUAAUCACUAGUAUAAAUACCUUAAGACGCGGAGUUAAGAGGAAAGGAAGAAGAAAGAAAGAAGUUUGAGAGGUUCUUCCACUGGUGUUCGGCUCACGAUCAACAAUGCAAAACUCACAAAGUCAACAAAAGAUCCACGUAUCUAUUUGCAACAUGAACAUAAAUACUGCUGUUCCCUUUGCUCAUACAAGCUACAGAACCAUUUAGCACAAACUGCUAUGGUUCAACAUAACGAUGCCUCUGAAUGUUCUUGAAGCUGUUCUCCAGGAGGUGAUACCAGCACAGGGAGACUCAGCUUACCUCACCUUGGCAUUGACCUGCAAGUGCUUUGAAGCCGUUGAGUCUGACCCAGUUUUCAGGAAGAAGACUCACUUUGCUUGGCUGGAUGGUGAGAUCAACUGGGGCAAAUUUUCAAAAAACAUUCACGGCAGAAAACCGG